rnacentral:rRNA from 1 species
GAGUUUGAUCCUGGCUCAGGACGAACGCUGGCGGCGUGCCUAACACAUGCAAGUCGAGCGGGGUCCAUCCAGUGGCAACACUGGGGACGACCUAGCGGCGAACGGGUGAGUAACACGUGAGGAACCUGCCCCGAAGACCGGGAUAACCCGAGGAAACUCGAGCUAAUACCGGAUACCCCCACGAGAUCGCAUGGUCUUGUGAGGAAAUGUCUUUUCGCUUCGGGAGGGCCUCGCGGCCUAUCAGCUAGUUGGCGGGGUAACGGCCCACCAAGGCAUCGACGGGUAGCUGGUCUGAGAGGACGAUCAGCCACACUGGGACUGAGACACGGCCCAGACUCCUACGGGAGGCAGCAGUGGGGAAUCUUGCGCAAUGGGCGAAAGCCUGACGCAGCAACGCCGCGUGGGGGACGAAGGCUCUCGGGUUGUAAACCCCUUUCAGGAGGGACGAAAUUGACGGUACCUCCAGAAGAAGCCCCGGCCAACUACGUGCCAGCAGCCGCGGUAACACGUAGGGGGCGAGCGUUGUCCGGAUUUAUUGGGCGUAAAGAGCUCGUAGGUGGCUCGGUAAGUCGGGUGUGAAAUUUCGAGGCUCAACCUCGAAACGCCUCCCGAUUACUGCUGUGGCUAGAGUCCGGUAGGGGAGCGUGGAAUUCCUGGUGUAGCGGU